GACGAACGCUGGCGGCGUGCUUAACACAUGCAAGUCGAACGGAAAGGCCCCUUUGGGGGUACUCUAGUGGCGAACGGGUGAGUAACACGUGAGUAACCUGCCCUUGACUUCGGGAUAACUUCAGGAAACUGGGGCUAAUACCGGAUAGGAAUCCUUGCUGCAUGGUGGGGGUUGGUAAGCUUCGGCGGUUUUGGAUGGACUCGCGGCUUAUCAGCUUGUUGGUGGGGUAGUGGCUUACCAAGGCUUUGAGGGGUAGCCGGCCUGAGAGGGCGACCGGCCAUAUUGGGACUGACAGGCGGCACAGACUCCGACGGGAGGAAGAAGUGGGGAAGAUUGAACCAUGGGCGGAGGCCUGAUGAAGCAGCGCCGCGGGCGGGAUGACGGCCUUCGGGUUGUAAACCGCUUGCAGCAGGGGCGAAGCUUGUGGUGACGGUACCUGCAGAAGAAGCACCGGCUAACUACGUG
rnacentral:rRNA from 1 species